rnacentral:rRNA from 1 species
AAUACUAUGCUGCUAAGUGGCGCACGGGUGAGUAAUAUAUAGGUAACAUGCCCUUAAGAGGGGGAUAACAGAGGGAAACCUUUGCUAAUACCCCAUAACCCUUCUUGUCAUAAGAUGAGUUGGCAAAGUUUUUUCGCUUAAGGAUUGGCCUGUAUUGUAUCAGCUUGUUGGUGAGGUAACGGCUCACCAAGGCUAUGACGCAUAACUGGUCUGAGAGGAUGAUCAGUCACACUGGAACUGAGACACGGUCCAGACUCCUACGGGAGGCAGCAGUGGGGAAUAUUGCACAAUGGGGGAAACCCUGAUGCAGCAACGCCGCGUGGAGGAUGACACUUUUCGGAGCGUAAACUCCUUUUCUGUUAGAAGAUAAUGACGGUAUAACAGGAAUAAGCACCGGCUAACUCCGUGCCAGCAGCCGCGGUAAUACGGAGGGUGCAAGCGUUACUCGGAAUCACUGGGCGUAAAGAGCGUGUAGGCUGUUUAGCAAGUCAGAAGUGAAAUCCUAUAGCUCAACUAUAGAACUGCUUUUGAAACUGCUUAACUAGAGUGUGGGAGAGGCAGAUGGAAUUUCUGGUGUAGGGGUAAAAUCCGUAGAUAUCA